GAUGAUCUGAAAUAAAAUAUAAAAAGAUACUUUUCUUGUCACCCUCCCCCCCACACACACACACAGAGAAAGAUGCUACAGGGAAAGGUCCUUGGCAUUCUAAUUCUCAGCUAUUGGGUGACAGUGAUCACCCAGACAUGGUGAUCAGCCAGUGAUGAUAAUAUAUGGGACCCUAUCUCCUCCACCAGGCACUGUACUAACCCUUGCUAUAAUCCAAGAGGAAGGCACUUCUAUGUCCAUUUUAUAGGUAAGGAAACGGAGAUUCAAAAAGAUUAAAGAGGUUGCCCAAGGUCAGAGAGGUAAGUGGAAGAAAAGUGCGUAAUUCUACAAGUUCAUAAAAAUGAGAAUGAGAACGAGUUACGUCUUUUCAGAAGAGUAACAACUCUUGAGAGUGCUGAUAAUUUCAUAAACCAAAAGAUUCAAUGGCCUCCAGUAUAAAAAAAGACAGCAGAAUCGAGAAGUGGUGCUUUUCUGACGACCAUUUUUGGUGAAACUCUGGCAACUGCACAGUCCCUCUCUUAGAUCUCCAAGUGAUAAGAGCAGAGGAUAAAGGGGGGAAAGUCUAGGCCGCACGCAUGUGUGUAUAUGCGUGUCUUGUGUGUAAAAAUGUGAAAGCAAAAGGGAAAUUGUCUGAAGAGAGAAAAACAAAAGAGCAGGAAAUCCAGCAAGAGUGGAAGCUGGGAAAAAGCUUAAAACUAAACCCAACAGAGAGGAAGAUGGAAAAGCAAAUAAAUGAGCUCCGGUCGGAUGGGAUGUGGGGGGGACUUUCUGGCAGGGACAAAACCCUCAGAAACAUGGAGCAGGGGCUGGAGGUGGAGGAAGUAGGGGACUACUACAGAACCAGUUCGGGGAGACCCUGGCAAAGCUCACUGCGGGCCAUUCACCAUAUUUUAUCCUCUUUUAUCACAUUAGCAUUUUCUUCAUUUUUCAGAUUAGGAAAUGGAAUAAUUUACUGGCGAUCCCAUCCCCAGUAAAAGCAGGAUUGGAGCUGGAAGCAGGGUCUGACGUCAAAGCCAUUCUUUUAGGCUACUUUGCUAAACACACCAAACACUAGAGAAAACUAUACAAAGUUAUGGCAAGACCAAGAUGGCCAAAGGCAGAAGUACCCAAAAGGCAUAGGGAAAAAAAAAUAUGAAGACUCUGAAAAGGGAGCAAACCAGUGGCCUGGGAAGGAGGGAAAGACAAGAGCACAAGUUCCAGAAACUGACCAUCAGUAGCCCCAACUUGCCCUUUUGCACCAGAGUCACCAGGACCAGUGAACAGGAAGAGUAUCAACCUGCCUACUCUCUCACUAAAAACCAGUCAAGAUGUCAAAGCAACCCCAUUAGCAAUCCCAUUUUGAAGAUCCUACUAUAUUUUUCAAAGGCCUGAUUAUUAAGGGCUCUGAGCAAGUCCAUGAACCUUUCUCCUCUCAGCCCCUGCCAGUGCCCACCCCACAGCACAGCCUAAGGCAUAUUUUCCACCCCAUCACCUGGGCGGUCACCUGGGCAGGGAAGGGAAGGAGGAAUUCAUCCCAUCUUCCCAGACUCCCAAGCACCUCCACUUAUCAAGCAGUGAAGUCAAGGUCAUCUGCCUAAAUCCUACCCCCAGCAUGAGGUCAUUUCCAUAUCUAGGUCUUCAGGUGGUUGGGGUGGGGGUAGCUAAUUUAUUCUGACAGUCUGCCAACAGAGCACAUUCCAGAGAAAAACCAGAGAAACUGGCAGGUCCAGUCCCAGGGUUUCAAACAGCAUCAGCCUACACACACACACACACACACACACACACACACACCAAUAUGGAUCAUCAACCCAGGCUUCCAAACCACACCAGCCUCACCUCCACACAUACAUAAAGGAGUCUGGAUCAAUUCAGCCCCCAGGAGCCUUACCCUCUCAUUUUCAAUGGCCAGUAUACCCAGUCUGAGAGGUGAGGGGUACUGGUCCCCACAGUCUUUUGAGGACUGAAAACAAAGGGCAGGUGACUCUUGCCGUCCUCAAGACAAAAUGAAGGGUUAGACAAUACCCCGAUGAAAAGCUUGACCGGGUCUCACUCAAUUUUUUAGGACCUUAGCCACAUGUUUGUUUUGAAGACAGAGUAAAAUAGGCCACCAAGAACACAAAAUAAAGUUAUUGUGUACUUUUAGGGUUUUGGUACAAAUGCCAGAAUAAUAAAACCUGACAAGUGACUUAAUAUGCCAUCUUUUUAGCCUGGCAGCUGUGGUUAAAAGCCAGAUCCAGGAACUGGCUUCACACACUGCCCUUGUUCCCCCUUACACUGGCUGUGUGACCUUGGGCAGGGUGCUAAACCUGAGUUUCCCUUCCUUCAACUGCAAAUGGAGCUCUUAGGUUUAAAUGAGGUGAUGCUGAAGAACCGGCUCAGGACAGAACCUGGCCAGUCUUCCUUACUUCCCAAAUCCUCCCAAGUGGCCUGGGAAUUGGAGCAACCACAAGUUAAUAGAGGGGACUCAGCAGUGCCGCCCCUCCUCCACAAACCCUGCCUUUGGGAGGGGACUGUGGGGCUGUGGAUAGAAUGACCCAGAUACAGACAUGGUCCUCCAGGACCUUUCUGCCUAGGCUCUCACAUUCUAGCUCUUUCUUAAUCUAAAAGCUCACCUCCAAAGCGGGCUGGGGGGCCAAGGUGGCCCAGUAUCCCUUUCCAGAGGGAACCAAAGAUUCUCAGGUGACUUGCCUGGUCAAGGGCACAGCCCAAUUGCAGGGACUGUCCAACCAAGCCUUCCCUUCCACACGGCUGGAAGUAGAGGGACCGAGACCCCAACCUGUAGAGGACCCUGAAAAAUGCCUUCUCCCUAUGAACAGCCCCAAUAAGGAAACAGAUCUCUGAGCUCCACAGCAAAGGCCAGACCUGAAAGACACCACAGGAGACUGAACACCUGCCCAAGUUACUGCCUCAAGCACAUGAUAAAAUAACUAAACAAACAAUGGUGUCAAAACAACCACCUGGAACUGAGCGGUGUUGUUACAAUUACUUUUGGUAUUAGCCGAAGUACUAAAAUUUCUUAAAUCCCAUUCUACUUUACCUGCCUUAUAUAUUUAGGUACAUCAUAGGACAUGAUCCCGCAGUCUCCCAAAGAGCAAAGACAAGCAAGCCUGAAACCUAGGGAUGUCAAGAGCACUGAGACCACAAGUCCUAAAAUAUAAUCUGAAAUCCCCGGAUUUCACACAAUACAAACCUUUCAGCAUUCCACUGGGAAAAACUUCUCAAUUAAACUUUGCUAGUCUAAAAAGGAAAUGAACCAAUGCUGAAUCAUUCCUAUGAAUGGACACAUUUAAAAAAAAAUACAUUAUGAAUUGAUCUACAGAACAGCAGAGGGUUUGAAGCAAUUUGGUUAAAACUAGCACAGGUUUAUAGGAAAAGCUCUAUAAAAGCUCUGGUCUCAGAAACAGCCGGCGACAUGCCUUCCAGAAUAAUACUGUCAGGACCUCAAUCCCUGGCUGCAAAGACCUCCUACCCAAAGAUUUUCUCUCUAUUCUGCUAAAUUAAAGGAGGUCGUCCAGUUUCCUCAAUAGUUUCCUAAUAGUAGAAUGACUGUAGUUUUUCAUACAAACUGGGGCAUUUGAGGGUAACAAGAGGGUGCUAUGAACUACUGCUCAGAGGCUCAGAGAUAAGGAGCAGGACUGUAUCAGGCAAGUCGUUACAUAGCCAUGAGGAACGGAAGAGGACAACCCUUUACAAAAUACCAGUGAAUAAAAACUGUCAUAAACAGUUAUUAGGAGGAAGACAGAGGGUAACUGGGAGGACACAGGAACAAGACCAAAUUGCAGUUAAGGAAAAACCGGGCAGAGCAGAACUUGAACUUUGGGGUAUAAAUUAACCUGGUUCUGGGUUCUUUUCUUCCUCAUCUUAAGUCAACUUACAAAUCAGAUUCGGGGACGCCUGGGUGGCUCAGUGGUUGGAUGCCUGCCUUUGGCUCAGGGUGUGAUCCUGGGGUCCCAGGGUCCCAGGGUCGUUUCCCACAGGGAGCCUGCUUCUCCCUCUGCCUGUGUCUCUGCCUCUCUGUGUCUCUCAUGAAUGAAUAAAAUCUUAAAAAAAAAAAAAAAAAUCAGAUUUGACGAUGCACUGGACUUGUGGCUACAAGUGCCUUCCAGGUCUAUCUCCCGAACUCCCAGUUUUUCCUUGUUGAUAUCUAUCAAGGUCUUGGAUUGCUUCAGUGUAAGGCGCUCGGGCAGUUAACGCAAUCAACAUUUAUCAUAAGGAGCAAGUCGUUCUGCAUUAUUGAAAUUACUCUUCCUCAAGUAAAAGCAUCUUCCACCUUAGAUAUUUUCAAUGGACACCUGUAGGCCCCUCACUAAAACCAGGAAACAAGCAGAAACAUAAACUUAUUUUAGGACGUCACUCUGAGUAUCAACCUUAAUCAUCUGACCAGCAAAACAAAUGCACACAUUUCAUGGGGGGCAGGAGGGUGCCAUGGUGAGUACAGCGUGCUAACCAGAUUCAGUGCUGUAUUGAUUCCAUGACAUAUGUCACAUACCAUAAAAUCUACCCUUGAAAAUUCUAUAAUUCAGUGGCUUUUAGUAGAUUCACAGGUCGUGAAUUGUCUUUAAAUGUGCCUCCCUCCUCUCCUCAACGGUCAGCCUGCCUGUCUCCAAAAGCCUCUAUCCUUCCCCCUAAG
rnacentral:lncRNA from 1 species